ACGCGGGCUUCGGCCUGGCCGGCGAGUGGCGACGGGUGAGUAAUAUAUCGGAACGUGCCCAAGAGUGGGGGAUAACGUAGCGAAAGUUACGCUAAUACCGCAUACGAUCUACGGAUGAAAGCAGGGGGACCUUCGGGCCUUGUGCUCCUGGAGCGGCCGAUAUCUGAUUAGCUAGUUGGUGAGGUAAAGGCUCACCAAGGGCGACGAUCAGUAGCUGGUCUGAGAGGACGACCAGCCACACUGGAACUGAGACACGGUCCAGACUCCUACGGGAGGCAGCAGUGGGGAAUUUUGGACAAUGGGGGCAACCCUGAUCCAGCAAUGCCGCGUGAGUGAAGAAGGCCUUCGGGUUGUAAAGCUCUUUUGUCAGGGAACGAAAAGGGUACGGCUAAUAUCCGUGCCUCAUGACGGUACCUGAAGAAUAAGCACCGGCUAACUACGUGCCAGCAGCCGCGGUAAUACGUAGGGUGCAACGCGUUAAUCGGAAUUACUGGGCGUAAAGCGUGCGCAGGCGGUUUUGUAAGUCUGACGUGAAAUCCCCGGGCUUAACCUGGGAAUGGCCGUUGGAGACUGCAGGCUGGAAUCUGGCGAGGGGGGUAAAUUCCCCGUGUAGCAGUGAAUGCNUAAAGAUGUGGAGGAACCCGAUGGCGAAGGCGC
rnacentral:rRNA from 1 species